CCUAGACGUAACGAUACCGUAGCGCCGCGGAUCUUCGGUUGGCCACGGAUAGCCGGCUUCGGUCGGUGAGUAGAGCCGUUCGUGACAGGGCUGGGGUGCGGCCGGAUGGUGGUCGCCCCUCUCCUAUCUCGCACCGCAUGUUUGUGGAGAACCUGGUGCUAAAUCACUUGCAGACGACCUGAUUCUGGGUCAGGGUUUCGUACGUAGCAGAGCAGCUCCCUCGCUGCGAUCU
rnacentral:rRNA from 1 species